CGGACGGGUGAGUAACGCGUGAGAAUCUAACUUCAGGACGGGGACAACAGUUGGAAACGACUGCUAAUACCCGAUGUGCCGAAAGGUGAAACCUAAUUGGCCUGAAGAAGAGCUUGCGUCUGAUUAGCUAGUUGGUGGGGUAAAGGCCUACCAAGGCGACGAUCAGUAGCUGGUCUGAGAGGAUGAGCAGCCACACUGGGACUGAGACACGGCCCAGACUCCUACGGGAGGCAGCAGUGGGGAAUUUUCCGCAAUGGGCGAAAGCCUGACGGAGCAACGCCGCGUGAGGGAGGAAGGUCUUUGGAUUGUAAACCUCUUUUCUCAAGGAAGAAGUUCUGACGGUACUUGAGGAAUCAGCCUCGGCUAACUCCGUGCCAGCAGCCGCGGUAAUACGGGGGAGGCAAGCGUUAUCCGGAAUUAUUGGGCGUAAAGCGUCCGCAGGUGGUCAGCCAAGUCUGCCGUCAAAUCAGGUUGCUUAACGACCUAAAGGCGGUGGAAACUGGCAGACUAGAGAGCAGUAGGGGUAGCAGGAAUUCCCAGUGUAGCGGUGAAAUGCGUAGAGAUUGGGAAGAACAUCGGUGGCGAAAGCGUGCUACUGGGCUGUAUCUGACACUCAGGGACGAAAGCUAGGGGA
rnacentral:rRNA from 1 species